rnacentral:lncRNA from 1 species
UGGUCGUCAGGUAGCAUGCCGGCAUCCAUUUUGACCAAAUCAGAUAUCUCUAGAUUUGAUCAUAUAUCCAUAACUUUUAUGGAACUAUUUAUAUACCAGUCUGAUCAUGAUUUGAUUAAAUCAUCUUGAUUAGAUCAACUGGAUUGUCGAAUAAUAUUGUCUGAUUAGUCUGUUCUACUUUGUUGAUUUCUCUCUCCUUCACUAUU